AGUGGGGAAUUUUGGACAAUGGGCGCAAGCCUGAUCCAGCCACGCCGCGUGAGUGAAGAAGGCCUUCGGGUUGUAAAGCUCUUUCGGUGAAGACGAAACGGUUAGCGCUAAUAACGCUGACUAAUGACGGUACUCACAGAAGAAGCACCGGCUAACUACGUGCCAGCAGCCGCGGUAAUACGUAGGGUGCAGGCGUUAAUCGGAAUUACUGGGCGUAAAGCGUGCGCAGGCGGUUUGCUAAGACAGGUGUGAAAUCCCCGGGCUUAACCUGGGAAUUGCGCUUGUAACUGGCAGGCUAGAGUGUGGCAGAGGGGGGUGGAAUUCCACGUGUAGCAGUGAAAUGCGUAGAUAUGUGGAGGAACACCGAUGGCGAAGGCAGCCCCCUGGGUCAACACUGACGCUCAGGCACGAAAGCGUGGGGAGCAAACAGGAUUAGAUACCCUGGUAGUCCACGCCCUAAACUAUGUCAACUAGUUGUCGGGGAAGAAAUUCCUUGGUAACGAAGCUAACGCGUGAAGUUGACCGCCUGGGGAGUA
rnacentral:rRNA from 1 species